rnacentral:rRNA from 1 species
AGCGAACGCUGGCGGCAGGCUUAACACAUGCAAGUCGAACGGGCUUCUUCGGAAGUCAGUGGCAGACGGGUGAGUAACACGUGGGAACGUGCCCUUCGGUUCGGAAUAACUCAGGGAAACUUGAGCUAAUACCGGAUACGCCCUUAUGGGGAAAGGUUUACUGCCGAAGGAUCGGCCCGCGUCUGAUUAGCUUGUUGGUGGGGUAACGGCCUACCAAGGCGACGAUCAGUAGCUGGUCUGAGAGGAUGAUCAGCCACACUGGGACUGAGACACGGCCCAGACUAGUAGGGGAGGCAGCAGUGGGGAAUAUUGGAGAAUGGGCGCGAGGCGGAUCCAGACAGACGGAGUGGGUGAAGAAGGCCUGCGGGUGGGAAAGCCGGGUUGUUGGGAGAGAAAAGCAGCAGGUGAAUACCCCGCUGUUAUGACGGUAACUAAAGAAUAAGCACCGGCGAACUUCGCG